CUAAGUGUUUGCACAAUGCCAAGCACAAUGGGGUCUUGACUCUGGAAAAGAUGUUCAGACACUGCUACCAUUAACUGUAAUUAUGACUGAUUGCCCAAAUCACUGCUGACGUCAUGGGGCAGACUCUUCUUGGUGUGCAGAGGCCGCGGGGGCUCCGCCUGAGCACACAGCCAGGGUGCCGCACCCUGAGCUGCCAGCCUGGACUCCUCAGGGCAGGGCCUGGCCAGUGGCCGGGGCAGAGGGCAGCAGGAGGCUGCAAGGCAGCAGGCAAGGAGACCGCAGGCUCAAGGGAGGAAGCCAAGGCUCAUGCCUUAGCCACUCUGCCUGGGGCCCUUCUGGACCUGGGCAACGAUGGAGUUCGGGAGCAGGACUUGGGCUCCGUAAUCUUCAGUAUAGCAGACAGGUUUGUUCAGGAGGGAACUGCACUCAUGGGGUUGAGUGACCACAGAGGGAUCCAAUCUGGAGUCACCACAAGACAGCUUUAUCAACAGUAACCAUGCCGGCCAGCUUCACUGUGGAGACAUUCCUUACCAGUCUUGUCUGGUUUAGGAAAAUGGAAUAAAGUUAGGAAAUGCAUUGCA
rnacentral:lncRNA from 1 species